CCAUCACAAAGGGACAGGAAGAAAUCAAACGCUCAGACUGAAAUGCUGGGGUUCGGAUCAAAGACAGCCAGAGACAGUUAGAAGGCAGCAACUUCCCGGUGCCCACCCGGUGGGGUGGGAGAAGUCGUUAGUCUUAAAUAAAAUGGAGCUGAGGACAAAAAUCUACAGCUGCGCUUUUGAAUCUAAAGCGAAGUUUAGCUUUGCAGUUUGGGUCGGUACAGGCGGACUGUCCUCUACACCGGCCAGUGGGUGCGCACAGUCUUCCAGGCCUGCAGGAGGCAGAAGUGGUAGGUUUCCUUGCUGAGCAUGCGCCGUAGCUCUCUCUGCCCGAGGGAGCCUGGGCGUGGGGGGGCGUGGGG
rnacentral:lncRNA from 1 species